rnacentral:rRNA from 1 species
GACGAACGCUGGCGGCGUGCUUAACACAUGCAAGUCGAACGGAGUGCCCAUGACAGAGGUUUCGGCCAAUGGAUUGGGUUACUUAGUGGCGGACUGGUGAGUAACGCGUGAGGAACCUGCCUUUCANAGGGGGACAACAGCUGGAAACGGCUGCUAAUACCGCAUGAUGCAUCGAGGGGGCAUCCCUUUGAUGCCAAAGAUUUUAUCGCUGAAAGAUGGCCUCGCGUCCGAUUAGAUAGUUGCGGGGUAACGGCCCACCAAGUCGACGAUCGGUAGCCGGACUGAGAGGUUGACCGGCCACAUUGGGACUGAGAUACGGCCCAGACUCCUACGGGAGGCAGCAGUGGGGAAUAUUGGGCAAUGGGCGAAAGCCUGACCCAGCAACGCCGCGUGAAGGAAGAAGGUCUUCGGAUUGUAAACUUCUUUUAUCAGGGACGAAGGAAGUGACGGUACCUGAUGAAUAAGCCACGGCUAACUACGUG